GGUAGAGCACAGACAACCCCUCCCACAUGAUCUUCCACUUACACUUGCUUUAUCUGCUUUCUUGUUUGUUGCAUUACCAAUUACUACAACAAAGCUCAACAGUUACCAUCCCCCACCCCAGUCUUGUGUAAGCAGAUUGAAGAUUCUUUAGGAAUCAUGGGGAGUUUUAUCAGGACACAGUUGAAAACCAAUGAAAAUGCAAGCCCAAGCACUCUCAGGACUCAUCACAUCAGGUCAAGCAAGUAACAAUCUCAAAAA